GAUGAACGCUGGCGGCGUGCCUAAUACAUGCAAGUCGAGCGAACAGACGAGGAGCUUGCUCCUCUGACGUUAGCGGCGGACGGGUGAGUAACACGUGGAUAACCUACCUAUAAGACUGGGAUAACUUCGGGAAACCGGAGCUAAUACCGGAUAAUAUAUUGAACCGCAUGGUUCAAUAGUGAAAGACAGUUUUGCUGUCACUUAUAGAUGGAUCCGCGCCGCAUUAGCUAGUUGGUAAGGUAACGGCUUACCAAGGCAACGAUGCGUAGCCGACCUGAGAGGGUGAUCGGCCACACUGGAACUGAGACACGGCCCAGACUCCUACGGGAGGCAGCAGUAGGGAAUCUUCCGCAAUGGGCGAAAGCCUGACGGAGCAACGCCGCGUGAGUGAUGAAGGUCUUCGGAUCGUAAAACUCUGUUAUUAGGGAAGAACAAAUGUGUAAGUAACUAUGCACGUCUUGACGGUACCUAAUCAGAAAGCCACGGCUAACUACGUG
rnacentral:rRNA from 1 species